AAAAAAUGAGGGAAGCUUUUCCCCGACUUAUAAAAGUGCACGAAGAGCUGCCAGGUCCUCGAAAGCUACGGAAGGAGCCAACGCCGAGGGAGGCGAAGAGACAACGAGCAGCAGCCACAGGGGCUCUACAUGGCCGAAUUUUGGACCAGCACAAGGCCAGUGAACCACCAAGAGACGACAUGGUGGCUGAUCUGAAAGCCACCAUUGAGAAGCAG